AGCUUUCUGAAUCAGUGAAGAGAUUUCGUCAGGCACCAACCCAUCAGGGCUGACCAGACUUUCAGUAUGAGUGAAGUU
rnacentral:pre_miRNA from 1 species